GUCACCAGUUCGGAGUCGGUGAAUUCACGAACAAUGGUUGAAGGUUUGUCACCCUUCUGUUCCUGCACCAGUUUGUUGCCCUCCAAAGUAAUGACACUCUUCACUUUACGACCAUCCAGUGUCUCUUCAUCAAAUUCCUUGCCUAGCUUAAAGUUGAUCGACGAUGUCUUGAAGGUUGAGGUAGUGGUGAAAGUGUAGGUCUCACCAUCCUUUUUCAACUCAACGGUGGGACUGACGCUAUUGCCCAUUUUACGCAUCACCAUACCGACACCUGUAAUAUUCAAUGAAAGGUGAAGGUGUUGGAAUAUUAAAAUAGUGCAUUGUGGUUGCGGCAAAAUUUAUGUAGAUCAAUUUCACAACUUUACAUUGUAUGUACAUACAUAUGUAUGUAUGUGCAUUCAAAGAAAUUUGAUAGUAGUGCUAACGCAUUAAAAAAAAAAUUAAUAAAUGUAGCUUAUUCUUAAAUUGUAAGCGGUAUUCUGUCUUCAAGAACUUUGUUCACAUAUCAUUCAACAAACUAUACAUACCUACAUAUAAGUUUGUAAAUACAUACAUUCAGUACAUAUGAAUGUUGCCUACAUAUUGUUAUACAAUAAUAAAAUUAACCCAAAAUUGGCUCCGUUAAAGUUCAAAGCGAUCAAAUCAAAUUCAAUUAUACGUAAUCAGCACGACCAAACGCAUGAAACUACAAAAACCACUUUGGAAAAGGGCGAGUGUCAAGCGCAUACGUACAUUUUUAGCAUAUGUAUAUGCGCCAUGUAUGCAGAUAUGCAUAUGUUUGUAUGUAUGUAUAUGCACAUUGUCCCACAGUAUCACGAAGUACGUACAUACAUGCAUAUGUGCACUUGUUGCAUUAAACGAGAAAUAAUUGAGUGAAAAUGGCGCGGAAUUUCGAUUUCAAUUGAAAAAUACAUUCGCAUGUAUGUAUGUACAUAUGUAUGUGAUUAAAUAUGUUUGUAGACAUCUUAAAAUAAUGAUAUUGGACAAAUUUUUUACCAUUUGAUAAUACGCACGUAUGUAAAUAUUUAUAGAUAUGGGUUACCCCGUUUUUAUACCUUGAAUAGGGUACGAGACUUAGUACGUAAAACUUUUUUAUUUGAAGAUAUAUAUUGAUGAAAUUUGGCAUAAAAUAUUGCCCAAGGCAACGCUACAAUCUACGAAUAAAUUUUUCAGAACCGACCACUAUAGCAUAUAGUAGUUGCGAUAUGAACUGAUCAAAAUUAA